rnacentral:rRNA from 1 species
UUCCGGUUGAUCCUGCCGGACCCCACUGCUAUCGGGAUGGGACUAAGACAUGCUAGUCGAGCGUCUCCAAGCUAUGGAAGAGACGCGGCACACAGCUCAGUAACACGUGGCUAACCUGCCCUUGGGACAAGGACAACUCCGGGAAACUGGGGCUAAUCCCUGAUAAGUGAGAACUCCUGGAAUGGAUUCUCGCUCAAAGGACGUUUAGACCAUGCUUCUAGGCGUCGCCCAAGGAGGGGGCCGCGACCGAUCAGGUUGUUGGUGAGGUAACGGCUCACCAAGCCUUUAACCGGUACGGGCCGUGAGAGCGGAAGCCCGGAGAUGGGCACUGAGACAAGGGCCCAGGCCCUACGGGGCGCAGCAGUCGCGAAAACUCCGCAAUACACGAAAGUGUGACGGGGCUAUCCCGAGUGCCAUCCGCUGAGGAUGGCUUUUCCCCAGUGUAUAAAGCUGGGGGAAUAAGGAGAGGGCAAGCCUGGUGUCAGCCGCCGCGGUAAUACCAGCUCUCCGAGUGGUGGGGAUGUUUAUUGGGCCUAAAGCAUUCGUAGCCUGCUUGGCAAGUCCUCCGUUAAAUCCAACGAUUCAAUCGUUGGGCUGCGGGGGAUACUGUCCGGCUAGGGGGCGGGAGAGGCCGACGGUAUCCCCGGGGUAGGGGUGAAAUCCUAUAAUCCCGGGAGGACCACCAGUGGCGAAUGCUGUCGGCUAGAACGUGCUCGACGGUGAGGGAUGAAAGCUGGGGGAGCGAACCGGAUUAGAUACCCGGGUAGUCCCAGCUGUAAACGAUGCAGGCUAGGUGUUGGCGCGGCUACGUGCCGCUCCAUGCCGCAGGAAAGCCGUUAGCCUGCCGCCUGGGAAGUACGGCGCAUGCUGAAACUUAAAGAUUUGCGGGGGGAGCACCACCACGUGUGAAGCUUGCGGCUUA